UUGACGGAGAGUUUGAUCCUGGCUCAGGACGAACGCUGGCGGCGUGCUUAACACAUGCAAGUCGAACGGGAUCCAUGCAGUAGCAAUACUGCGGAAGAUCUAGUGGCGAACGGGUGAGGAACACGUGAAGAACCUGCCCUGGACUCUGGGAUAACAGUUGGAAACGACUGCUAAUACCGGAUGUCGUUGUUGGAGUCGCAUGGCUCUACAACGAAAGUUUUUCGGUUCAGGAGGGCUUCGCGGCCUAUCAGCUAGUUGGUGAGGUAAAGGCUCACCAAGGCAUCGACGGGUAGCUGGUCUGAGAGGAUGAUCAGCCACACUGGGACUGAGACACGGCCCAGACUCCUACGGGAGGCAGCAGUGGGGAAUCUUGCGCAAUGGGCGAAAGCCUGACG
rnacentral:rRNA from 1 species